rnacentral:rRNA from 1 species
UCCUACGGGACGCAGCAGUGGGGAAUAUUGCACAAUGGGGGGAACCCUGAUGCAGCGACGCCGCGUGAGCGAAGAAGUAUUUCGGUAUGUAAAGCUCUAUCAGCAGGGAAGAAAAUGACGGUACCUGACUAAGAAGCCCCGGCUAACUACGUGCCAGCAGCCGCGGUAAUACGUAGGGGGCAAGCGUUAUCCGGAUUUACUGGGUGUAAAGGGAGCGCAGGCGGCGCGGUAAGUCUGAUGUGAAAGCCCGGGGCUCAACCCCGGGACUGCAUUGGAAACUGCCGUGCUGGAGUGUCGGAGGGGCA